GACGAACGCUGGCGGCGUGCUUAACACAUGCAAGUCGAACGGAAAGGCCCUGCUUUUGUGGGGUGCUCGAGUGGCGAACGGGUGAGUAACACGUGAGUAACCUGCCCUUGACUUUGGGAUAACUUCAGGAAACUGGGGCUAAUACCGGAUAGGAGCUCCUGCUGCAUGGUGGGGGUUGGAAAGUUUCGGCGGUUGGGGAUGGACUCGCGGCUUAUCAGCUUGUUGGUGGGGUAGUGGCUUACCAAGGCUUUGACGGGUAGCCGGCCUGAGAGGGUGACCGGCCACAUUGGGACUGAGAUACGGCCCAGACGCCUACGGGAGGCAGCAGUGGGGAAUAUUGCACGAUGGGCGGAAGCCGGAUGCAGCAACGCCGCGUGCGGGAUGACGGCCUUCGGGUUGUAAACCGCUUUCGCCUGUGACGAAGCGUGAGUGACGGUAAUGGGUAAAGAAGCACCGGCUAACUAUGUG
rnacentral:rRNA from 1 species